rnacentral:lncRNA from 1 species
GUCGGCCCGAGUUAACUUCCGUUGUUCACAGUGAAGGAAGCCUCACUGAGGCGGAUGAAAGUACUUCUGGGAGUUUCCUGGUUGUUUAAAAUUCAAGAUCUAGGCCCCCCACUCUGGCCGUGUCUUUGAUCUGGUCCAAGCACCUGUGGUUUCUAAAUUCAAUCAGGAAGAGACCUUCAGAGGAGGGACCGGAGGACAGAGGAGGCCAUUUUUGACCAAGAUCAAAUGCUUCUCUGGGGAUGGGAAACUCAGUGGGAAGCGGCAGUUUACCCCACAAGGAGCAUGUGGGCAUCGAGGCAGCUUUCCAGCGUCUCCUCCUGUCUUGCCAAGGACACAAGAGCAAAGAUCCCUGGGGCAGACCCCCUCUUGAAUGAUCUUCUAGAAGCAUCUGCCUCUCACUGCUGGCGUUUCCAGAUGGAGAGGGAGAGAGAGGAGGGAGCCCAGCUGUCUGUGACCAGAUUCAUUAAAGAGUGGGGACCAGGCUGUGUUUGACAAGAGAAGGGGCUACCAUUCCCAGCAGGACACUGUCUUCCCGCAUCUGCGGAGAGCUUGCUCUGAGAAGUUUGGUGUCCAGACUGGGGGCGGCCAGGAGGCCAAAGGUAGGGAAAGACGUACCCU